AUUGAACGCUGGCGGCAGGCCUAACACAUGCAAGUCGAACGAGUGGCGGACGGGUGAGUAAUGUCUGGGAAACUGCCCGAUGGAGGGGGAUAACUACUGGAAACGGUAGCUAAUACCGAAUACCGUCGGAUGUGCCCAGAUGGGAUUAGCUCGUAGGUGGGGUAACGGCUAACCUAGGCGACGAUCCCUAGCUGGUAUGAGAGGAUGACCAGCCAAACUGGAACUGAGAAACGGACCAGACUCCUACGGGAGGCAGCAGGGGGGAAUAUUGCACAAUGGGCGAAAGCCUGAUGCAGCAAUGCCGAGUGUAUGAAGAAGGCCUUCGGGGUGUAAAGUACUGUCAGCGAGGAGGCGUUACUCGCAGAAGAAGCACCGGCUAACUCCGUGCCAGCAGCCGCGGUAAUUC
rnacentral:rRNA from 1 species